CUCCGCUUGGUGUAGUUGGUUUAUCACGUUCGGCUGUAAUAUCCAUUGUUACCGAAAGGUCCCUAGUUCGAUUCUGGGAGCGGAGA
rnacentral:tRNA from 2 species